GGGAGAAUAUUGGACAAUGGGCGAAAGCCUGAUCCAGCAAUGCCGCGUGAGUGAUGAAGGCCUUAGGGUUGUAAAGCUCUUUUACCCGAGAUGAUAAUGACGGUAUCGGGAGAAUAAGCUCCGGCUAACUCCGUGCCAGCAGCCGCGGUAAUACGGAGGGAGCUAGCGUUGUUCGGAAUUACUGGGCGUAAAGCGCACGUAGGCGGCUUUUUAAGUCAGGGGUGAAAUCCCGGGGCUCGACCCCGGAACUGCCCUUGAAACUGGGAAGCUAGAAUCUUGGAGAGGCGAGUGGAAUUCCGAGUGUAGAGGUGAAAUUCGUAGAUAUUCGCAAGAACACCAGUGGCGAAGGCGGCUCACUGG
rnacentral:rRNA from 1 species